GCUGGGUGUUGUGGAGCACACCUGCAGUCCAGCCAACUCGGGAGGCUGAGGCGGGAGGAUCCCAGGAGUUCUGGGCUGCAGUGUGCUAUGCCAAUCAGGUGUUCACACUAAGUUAGGCAUCAAGAUGGUGGCCUUCUGGGAGCAGGGGACCACCAGGUUGACUAAGAAGGAGUGAACCAUCCCUGCUGGAAACGGAGCAGGUCAAAACUCCCAUGCCGAUCAGCAGUGGGAUCAAUCACACCUGUGAAUAGCCACUGAACUCCAGCCUGGCCAACACAGCGAGACCCCAUCUCU
rnacentral:SRP_RNA from 1 species